rnacentral:rRNA from 1 species
UACAGAGGGCCCAAGCGUUGUUCGGAUUUACUGGGCGUAAAGGGUGCGUAGGUGGUGGGGCAAGUUCGAUGUGAAAGCUCCGAGCUUAACUCGGAAAUUGCAUUGAAAACUGCCUUGCUAGAGGGUUGGAGGGGGGACUGGAAUUCUCGGUGUAGCAGUGAAAUGCGUAGAUAUCGAGAGGAACACCAGUGGCGAAGGCGAGUCCCUGGACAACUCCUGACACUGAGGCACGAAAGCUAGGGGAGCAAACAGG